GGAAAAGGUUUCUGCCACUACCUUCCUAGACUCAUCUAAGUGGAUCGACUCCAGGGGAUGGAGAAUGGAAGGCAGCAGAUGUUUGUUGACUUCCUGCUCUAUAUCAGGCACUGUGCUAGAUACCAUACACGCCAUCAACAUUUAGGACAGUAUGGAGAAUGAAAGCUGUCUCUUGUAGAUAGGAUAUUUUCAGCCGUCAUCACCAUGGACUCUUUGAAAUGUACUACUUCAGAAAAGCCACAGUGACUCCCUCUGGGCCUCACCCACCUGAGAUGACAUCACGACACAAAUCCAGGACUUAUGCUCUUCAUACGGAUGGAAUGGUUGGUUCACUUGGCUUUUAGAGUGCAGACAAGCCGUUCAGAGGAGGGCAUGCCUCAGCCUGCACUCUUCUGACUCAUGACAUGACUUCUCCAUGGAGAGCCAGGAUUUUUCUCAAGUGUAACAAUAUUAAUUAUCAAGUCACUUUAAAACGUG
rnacentral:lncRNA from 1 species